rnacentral:rRNA from 1 species
AUUGAACGCUGGCGGCAGGCCUAACACAUGCAAGUCGAGCGGAUGAAGGGAGCUUGCUCCUGGAUUCAGCGGCGGACGGGUGAGUAAUGCCUAGGAAUCUGCCUGGUAGUGGGGGAUAACGUCCGGAAACGGGCGCUAAUACCGCAUACGUCCUGAGGGAGAAAGUGGGGGAUCUUCGGACCUCACGCUAUCAGAUGAGCCUAGGUCGGAUUAGCUAGUUGGUGGGGUAAAGGCCUACCAAGGCGACGAUCCGUAACUGGUCUGAGAGGAUGAUCAGUCACAUUGGAACUGAGACACGGACCAGACUCCUACGGGAGGCAGCAGUGGGGAAUAUUGGACAAUGGGCGAAAGCCUGAUCCAGCCAUGCCGCGUGUGUGAAGAAGGUCUUCGGAUUGUAAAGCACUUUAAGUUGGGAGGAAGGGCAGUAAGUUAAUACCUUGCUGUUUUGACGUUACCAACAGAAUAAGCACCGGCUAACUUCGUG